rnacentral:snRNA from 1 species
AUUGCUUCUUGGCCUUUUGGCUAAGAUCAAGUGUAGUAUCUGUUCUUAUCAGUUUAAUAUCUGAUACGUCCUCUAUCUGAGGAUAAUAUAUUAAAUGGAUUUUUGAAGCUUGGAGUUGGAAUAGGAGCUUGCUCCAUCAACUCCACGCAUCGACCUGGUAUUGCAUUACUUCCAGGAAUGUUGCACCCCCU